GAGGGUAGAGCUCAGUGGUAAAGCGUGUGCUUAGCAUGCAUGAGGUCCUGGGUUUAAUCCGAGUACCUCCA
rfam:Camelus ferus unplaced genomic scaffold scaffold246, whole genome shotgun sequence.